rnacentral:sRNA from 1 species
GAUGUGUUAAGUGUAUGGGCGAUCACG